AUCUGAUCCUCUUUAAAUGAAGUAGGCAAAUGUAAGAUCUACUCAAGAGAGUGGCUUCUUUGCUUUGGGUUGCAGUGGCUGGUUCUUUCAAAAGCACCCGACUGUUCUCCCAGAUCCUAGACCUUUUAUUAUCUAGUCACCACAGGGACAAUAAAUCAGGCAAAAUCCUAUUCUUAGGAAGACAAGGUCCAAUGGAAGAUAUGGAAAUGACUUCUGCCUCACUGGUCACUUCUCCACGGAGACCUCGACUGCGACCAGUAAAUUACUGGAUCAGAUACCGAUUACCUAUCAGUGUGAUCCUAGUUGGAGUAGCAAUGGCUUUAAUUGGAUUAAUUAUUAUGAUAUUUCCUCUUUCUAACAACACUUAUGACAACUACUUGUUAUCAUCACUUAGCAUUUGCUUUGGCCUCUCUGUGAUCGUUGUUGGAUUUAUAGUGAUAUUUCUCGUAGAUCGAGUUGAAUUCUCAAGAACUUUAAGACUUAUCCAGCAAAAUGCAAGUUGUGCCACUGAUGUCAUGGAGGAUACAACAAGGCUUUAAACUGUUUUUAUAUCUUAAAAUUUGUGACAAUUUCAAUAAACAAACUUUACUAUGUUUUUUUUUUA